rnacentral:rRNA from 1 species
UACGUAGGUGGCAAGCGUUGUCCGGAUUUACUGGGCGUAAAGAGCGCGCAGGCGGUCGUUUAAGUCGAAUGUGAAAGCCCCCGGCUCAACUGGGGAGGGUCAUUCGAUACUGAUCGACUUGAAGGCAGGAGAGGGAAGUGGAAUUCCGGGUGUAGUGGUGAAAUGCGUAGAUAUCGGAAGGAACAUCAGUGGCGAAAGCGGCUUCCUGGACCAGCACCGACGUUCAGGCACGAAAGCGUGGGGAGCAAACAGG